UACGUAGGGGGCAAGCGUUGUCCGGAAUCAUUGGGCGUAAAGAGCUCGUAGGUGGUUUGGUAAGUCGGAUGUGAAAUCUCCAGGCUCAACCUGGAGGGGUCAUUCGAUACUGCCAUGACUAGAGGUCGGUAGGGGAGUGUGGAAUUCCUGGUGGAGCGGUGAAAUGCGCAGAUAUCAGGAGGAACACCCGUAGCGAAGGCGGCACUCUGGGCCGAUUCUGACACUGAGGAGCGAAAGCGUGGGGAGCGAACAGG
rnacentral:rRNA from 1 species